CAGCUCUGCUUUGACAUUUUGUAAUAAGGGGAUCUGGUCAAGUUGAUGCUUUGUCAGAAGCAAGUGUUGUAAUACUUAGUUCUCAGACCAUACUUCCACGAUGGCUGUUUUCCCGUGUGUGCUGUAGAAUCACAGUUAUGAAUGGAUAACUCGGGAUAUAAUGCUAGAGAUAAUAAAAAUUGUUUUUCGUGAUGGUUUUUCCACUGCAUUGAUCUCUGUCUCAGUCUUUAUGUAUCUGCAACUAUGGUUUGAUCUACUCCUUUGCCUUCCCCACUUCACUUUCUUUCCCAAAUACUUUUUUUUCUCUCAUGCUGUGUGCAUUCCAUCUUUGAGCUAAAAAGUAAUGUGCACUGUUGGGGGCAGGGAAGGAGGCCUACACACUGGCCUGGAUAACAACAGCUGACAAGAAGUGAUGUGGGAGUAACUCUGUGUGACUGGAACAGCCAAAAAUGUCUGAGAGGAUUUGCCCAAACAGUGAUGCUGCUGAAGAUGAUGAUGACCAUCAUCCAGAUUGAAGAGCAACCAGGGAAUUACAAAAAGACUUUGAAACAGUGAAGAAGUACCUUGAAAAGAAUCAUGAAAGGUGCAUGGAAAGUAUGCAACAAUCAUAAGGGACCUUGGAGUGAGAACAGGAUAACAGAGCAGCAGUUUAAAUACGUUUUGACACUGGCAGAAGCCACCCCAGCAUGUGACUUUUGGGGCACUCACAGGCAGUAUGUGUAAAUAUGGGAACCUGCACCCCUAGAAGUGGGGGAGUCUUACAGCUGUGAGUGUGUGUGUGUGCAGCUAGAAGUUUUUAUCAUUACUUACAAAAGGACGUUUAGAAAUUUGUAGAUCUCUAUUAACAUUGUAUCUGUCUUAUUGCUGAAAUUGUGAUCCUCAAUGAUUGAUUCGCUGUUUACCAGUUAAUGACACCCUUAAUAAAUCAAUAAACCACUUCAAUCCAAAUCUCAUUUAUGCCAUCUGGAUUUAGUGGGGUUUUUAUGCUGGUACAUACUGUAUCUAGAAACUUUCUUUGACAAAAUCAAAGAUUACAGUGAUUCAAUAGUAGACGAUUUGAGCCUUGCAGUGCAGUGACAUUUUUCCUGUUUGUUAGAAAUUGUGAGGGACACCUUGUGGGAGAGGAAAAAAACCCAAAAAGUCAUUCUAAAAAACUUUCUCCCUCCUCAGAUGUUUUAAUUACUUCACUUGUCUUUUCUGAAAGUCAUCAUUUUUGUCACUGUAACUGUUACAAAGACUAAUUCUAGAGGAAG